CAAGUACCCCUGACUGCAGCCCGCAGACGGAGCCCACAUGGAGGGGGCGGGCACUCAGUCCACAUGGAGGGGGCCGGCCCUCCGCCCGCAUGGAGGGGGCCGGCCCUCCGCCCACAUGGAGGGGGCCGGCACUCAGUCCACAUGGAGGGGGCGGGCACUCCGACUACAUUGACGAUUGAGCAGAUUUCCGCUGCUCUUGUUAAUGCAAGAGUAAACGGUGAAGCAGGUGAAUGGGCCCUUGGUGUGAGCACCCACAGUGUGCACCCACUGUUCCCGCACAAGGUUGCAAAAUUGGAGCACCCAACACUAUCUACACCCAUAUUCCCACACAUUUCACCCUCUGUCUUGCGGGAACCAAGCUUGGGGACCUGACACUAUAGAAAAGCUCUGUCAGCGUGGUUCCAUACCACAACUGAUCAAGAUGGCAAAGCGAUUCUCUGUUCAGACUGCCCUACAGUUGAUAUUUGAAGAGACAGAGGGUUUUGAUGGUGAUGCAGAGGAAAUAGUUUCGGAAAGUGAGGAUAACAUUUCAGAGUCUGACACCGAGUUUGAAGAGGAGGAUGAGCAUCAGCCAGCUCCGAAACGUAAAAGAGCCUCAGGACUAGCCCUUCAGCAGGCAGGACCAGCCCGCAAGCAGCCAGCCCCAGGACCAUCCCGCGAGCAGCCAGGACCAGCCCGCAAGCAGCCAGCCCCAGGACCAGCCCGCGAGCAGCCAACCCCAGGACCAGCCCGCGAGCAGCCAGCCCCAGGACCAACCCGCAAGCAGCCAGCCCCAGGACCAUCCCGUGAGCAGUCAGGACCAACCCGCAAGCAGCCAGCCCCAGGACCAACCCGCAAGCAGCCAGCCCCAGGAACAACCCGCAAGCAGCCAGCCCCAGGAACAACCCGCAAGCAGCCAGCCCCAGGAACAACCCGCAAGCAGCCAGAUGUAGGACCAGCCCGUCAGCCAAAAAGAAACGCUGUGAAGUGUGUGGACCCAUGAUGGACAGAAAAACACAAUAUACAUGGAACCAGUGCAAAAAAUACAUAUGCAAUACACACACAGUGAGACUCUGCCCCUCAUGUGUGGUAUAGUCUGAUAUACGUAUAAUGGCCGAGUUCAAAGGCUUUAAUGUGUUGUUCAGACAGAU
ensembl:lncRNA